UACGUAGGUGGCAAGCGUUGUCCGGAUUUAUUGGGUUUAAAGGGUGCGUAGGCGGCCCUGUAAGUCAGUGGUGAAAUAUCUCAGCUUAACCGAGAGGGUGCCAUUGAUACUGAUGGGCUAGAGUACAGAUGAGGUAGGCGGAAUUGACGGUGGAGCGGUGAAAUGCGUAGAGAUCGGAAAGAACACCGUUAGUGAAGACAGCUUGCUAGGCUUCUACUGACGCUGAGGCACGAAAGUGUGGGGAUCAAACAGG
rnacentral:rRNA from 1 species